GCUUGUCUCAAAGAUUAAGCCAUGCAUGUCUCAGCAUAAGCUUCAACACGGUGAAACUGCAAAUGGCUCAUUAAAGCAGUUACAAUUUAUUUGAUGGUCACUGUUACAUGGAUAACUGUGGUAAUUCUAGAGCUAAUACAUGCAUCAAAACCUGACUCUUGGGAAGGGUUGUGUUUAUUAGAUAAAGCCAACGCUGGGUAAAACCAGUUUCCCUUGGUGAUUCAUAAUAAUUAAGCGGAUCGCAUGGCCUUGUGCUAGCGACAGUCCACUCGAUUUUCUGCCCUAUCAUGGUUGAGAUUGUAAGAUAGAGGCUUACAAUGCCUACAACGGGUAACGGGGAAUUAGGGUUCGAUUCCGGAGAGGGAGCCUGAGAAACGGCUACCACAUCCAAGGAAGGCAGCAGG
rnacentral:rRNA from 1 species